AAAAUUUACAAAUUAGUUAGUAUGUCUUUAAUAUUCCAAAAAUCCUCCACCCUAUAUAUGUCAUGCCUCAAAAUCAAGGACGAAAAUAAUGAAAUCACCUUUCCUUGAUCUUAGAUAUCUCACUCUCAUUACCCACAAAAGCCGUAUUGUUCAUUUCUUUGCGAAUCACCCAGACAAUAGUAAGUGGUAUAAGCGUUAUAAAUUGUCUUUUCUCACAUACCUUACCAAGCCCAAAUCUGUUCCCUCACUGAACCCGCAAUAACCCAGUUUAUUUCUACAGCCUGUAGAUCAUCUUAGUUCAUAAGCCAUCGUGCAUCAAAGAAGAAUAUGAUUACAUGAAAGGAUUAUAGAUAGAAAUAGAAAGGAUUGUAUUUCCAUGUAAUCUAGAGUUUAUUGUAAUAGUGUGGGAUAAUACUAAAUCUUUUGUAGUAUUGGGAUUUGUUUAUUGUUUAUAUUCUUUUAAGCUACAAGUUUUCCUAUUAUAAUUCUUCAAUUAUUAUAGUUAUAUUUGGAUUUUGUAUUUAAUUUGUGAAAAUUUUUUGUCAUUUCACUUUUGAGAUCAAUCCACAAGUCAACAAAUUUAUCUGUAAGAUUUUCUCUAUACCUCAGUGUGCAUGAUGCAAUCAAAUUUUAACAUGAUGUGUAAGAGCCUCUUAAGUAUGAGGUCUAGGUUUCUCUCAAAUCCCUGAAUCAGCAAAUUAAUGCUUUACAUGACAAAGCAAAACUUCUUUGAACUUCUUGGUAAAAAAGUUUUUGUAUGGAAUUGUGGGUUAUUUGAGAACCUUUUAUAUUAGUCUCCUUCCUAAGUGAAAUGAGCAGUGGAUAAUAUUUCUUUCAAGUCGUCCAUGAUUGCUGAAUGUAAUAAUGAUUAGUAAGCAUUUUCAAAAAAGAAAAAAAAUGAUUAAUAAGGUUGUAAUAAUGUUAUUAAAUGAUGCUAAUUAAAAUGUGGUGUGGUAUGCUUAGACGGGUCAGCUUAUAAUUUUGAGAGACUGAAUAACUGGAUAUAAGUGCAAUCACAAGCAUGAAAUCAAGUGAUGGUUGACUGACUAGAGAUAAUGGUGGGAUUGGAAGAAUGCUACUUAGCUCUAUUUGGCUCAGGAACAGCAUUGCCUGCUUCAAAUGGCAUUAGUUUUCAACUAUAAUCUUUACUAUGAUACUUACAUUAAAAGCAAAUCUCAUUUGCAUCCCUUACUUUGGACCUUUUCAUCAUUGCCCUUCCUAGCAUUUGAGUUCAAGUGAAAUAUCAUAAUUUACUAAUUUUUUUUUUAUUAUGUGCUCUGCAAAUCUGGUUUUAAAAAGCAGCAAAAUGUCAGACAUUGAAUUUGAGUGGAUCUAUGAAAGGGAAAAUUAGCAGUUUCAACACAGCUUUGAUAUGGCUGGUGUUACAUUUUCUAACUGGGUUGGGAGAGAACUUAAUUGGAACAAUUUGCAAAUUCUCGUACCUAACUUGGUAAAUAAUGAAAAACUAUGAUAUAAAUACAUGGGGGGGAAUUUUAGGAAUAGAACAUAGAAGCUAGGGUAGCUGUUCCAAAUUUCAAAUUUUUAUUUGUCUGGUUGCUGCACUUUUUCUCUGUUGCUUCUUUUUCAGCUUCUUUCAAAUGAUAGGUUAACAAUAAUAAAUUUAAGGUGGGACCCUGGUGACACAGGUUUCUGCUAAUUUCUUCUAUCUUUUUGCUACAUUAUUGAAGGGAUAAGGUGCUUUGAUUAAUUUGUGGUGCUUUCACUAAUAUAUUUAACAUAUUCUUUCAGAGAUCUAAAGAAAAGGAAGGACUAAAAGAGAAGGGAGCAGGUUCCUCAAAGGAUGUGGAAAAGGUAUCUAAAAUAGGAAGGAAGAAAGAGACUGUGUCCUCGCAUGCGGACAAAGGAAAAGCAAGUAAUGAUCCAAAA